CACCUCUCACGCAUCUUCAGUCUCCUCCCAAACCCCUCUCACGUGAAGGCAACAAAAACCUCCAUCUCCGCUGAAACCCCUCCACAUAAACUUUCCCUGCGAAAACCUCCCGAUGAAAACCUCCAUCUCCGUCCAAGACCUAGACUCCAUGCAAAAUCUCCAUCCGCGCCGCCCGUGACCAAGCCUCCUCCGCUGAGGUCAUGAACUACCUCACCACGACCAGACGUCACCGAGAUCUUCCCCCACCACGACCAGGUCAUGAACUACCUCGAAUCCUAUGCACGCCACUUCGACCUACUCCGCUGUAUCAAGUUCCACUCUAGUGUGGUGUUGAUAGACCUCGUCGGGGCGUCCAAAGAGGAGAUCACCGCGUAGGACCUCUGGACCGGCGUCGCCAAGGGAGAAUGGCACCUCACCGAGCAGCUAUAAGAGCAAUCCCUCCACCGAGAUCUAUUGGGUGGAUUUCUUGAUCCUGUGCAAUGGAAGGUUCAGCAAUGCCCCAAAUUUCCCAAAUUUUGCACGACGGGGUGCAGCUUAGGUGUUCAAUGGAAUGACUAUGCACUCAAUGGAGUACUCCGACAUGGACGACAUCGGUCUUGCCACUCUCAUGCGAGGAAAGCAAGUCACCGUCGUCGGCUCAGGGAAGACAACAUUUGAUAGAAUCAUGUACAUGAGAGAUCGUUGCACCAAAUUUGAAGUACUUUAUUUACCUUUACUUCAUUUUUCCCUUUACAAAGUUAAAUAGGCAUAUUUGCUUCCAUUCUGCCUUCUGUAUAUCCUUGCAUGAUAUUCUGUCUAAGUUUGUUGACGCUCAACAAUUGUUGAUAUUGCUAACUGUUAUAAAUUAGUUUAGAAGGAAUGGAGACCAAGGUAUUGAAUUUGAACCUUGCUCAAAGCUUGAAGAUUUAAAUUUAGAUGCUAGAUAUGUUCAAGUAAAUACUCAUGGAUGUUGUAAAUUAUUUGUUAGCAAGUACAAGGGGCUUUGAGGACAGAGGAAUAGUUAAACUAUUUUGUUUUGGAUUUCCAAUUGUCCUCUUCUUCAGUCUCCACAUUGACUUUCAUAUAUACUAGUUCAUCUUUUUACCAGUGCUAAAAGAUUGGGCACCGGUAAGAGACGUCACCUUUUAGCUUUUGUCUAACAGUUAUCUUUAUGUUGCUAAAAAUUCAAAAGUUUUAGUUUCUCUUCAUGCGAGCAGGAGUUUCCAACUCUUUGUUUUUACAUAUCUAGAAAUGAAUUGUUGGAUAGUUCAUUUGUGUGUGUGUUGUUGAUGAUAUAUUACUCUUUCCUGAUAUGAUCAUUUCAUAAUUUAGAAAUUAAUUUGGUAGUUUAACUAAUUUGUUGCAGAUAAUUUCUUAUUUAUCAAUUUGUUGCAGAUUUCAUCAGUAAUACAUGCAGUUAGUGUCUAUAUAUAUACACAAGUAUACUUUUAUUAGAACUUUUCUUAUAUUUGAGUGUUGCUGGUAUUGGUGAUAUAUCCUUUUGUUACCUUUACAAAAAAAGGAUUCAAAUGAGUAUUGGUUAGAGAAUAGCAAUUGAUGGAGAGAAAUGCAAAAUCAAACUCUUGGUAAGUUGAGAUCUUAGUACUUCAUUAUGUAUUUUUUUAUAAGGAUUGUGCCUUGGUUACUAUGUAUAUACAUUACAGUACGAAGACAGUGAAGGUGAUAAAGUUCUUCUAGACAGUGAAGGAAUUUCAUAAUUCUGUAACAUGUAUAUUAAAUAUUCUUUGGAUAACGGAGUAGAGUAAGAAUAUGUACUUCUUUAAAUGAAAGAAGGAAUGACUAGCUAUAAAACAACAAUUUAAUGAAAAUUGAUAUUCUAAGAGCAUUUUUGUAGUGGAAUUUGAGUUUUUUUAAAUGCUUAAGAAUCUAGGCUUCCUGUUAUUAGAUUUUGUGCUAAAUUAAUGAGUUUAACCCAUCGUUGAUACUCAUUUAAACCUCACAAUUUAAUUCUAUUGGUUUAUGGGACACUUGUUUCUCUGCCAUAUUACUUGGGUUUUGAGGUUGCAUAUUGAUCAUUCACACUUACUUGUUUAGCACUUGUGCUAGGUGAAGGUUUGUAUGAAGGACUUGAUUAUCUCUCUAGCAACAUCACUAAAAAGAUGAAUGUGAAAAGAAAUUAAAAGUGGAGUUUUUAUUUUACCAAGAAGGACACUCAUAUAUUUGUGAGAAGAAAAGUUCUAAUCCAAGAAGCAAGAUAUAUUGGAACUAAUAUGCAUGUCUAAUAUGUAGGGUUUUUGCUUUUAUUAGACUUAACAUGGAUCCAAAUUUUGUGGAUUAUGCCUACAUAUUUUUUGUUUAAAUUAUAUGACACAUUUGUUGUUCAAUAAUAAGAAAUUUGAUUAGUUGUACUUUCAUGGUAU